rnacentral:rRNA from 1 species
UACGUAGGCAGCGAGCGUUGUUCGGAGUUACUGGGCGUAAAGAGUGCGUAGGCGGCUUUCUAAGUUUGGUGUGAAAUCUCCCGGCUUAACUGGGAGGGUGCGCCGAAGACUGGAAGGCUUGAGUAUGGGAGAGGUAAGCGGAAUUCCUGGUGUAGCGGUAGAAAUGCGUAGAUAUCAGGAGGAACACCUGCGGUGUAGACGGCUUACUGGACCAUAACUGACGCUGAGGCACGAAAGCGUGGGUAGCAAACAGG